rnacentral:rRNA from 1 species
CAGUCGCCGCGGUAAUACGGAGGGGGCUAGCGUUGUUCGGAAUUACUGGGCGUAAAGCGCGCGUAGGCGGUUACUCAAGUCAGAGGUGAAAGCCCGGGGCUCAACCCCGGAACUGCCUUUGAAACUAGGUGACUAGAAUCUUGGAGAGGUCAGUGGAAUUCCGAGUGUAGAGGUGAAAUUCGUAGAUAUUCGGAAGAACACCAGUGGCGAAGGCGACUGACUGGACAAGUAUUGACGCUGAGGUGCGAAAGCGUGGGGAGCAAACAGGAUUAGAUACCCCUGUAGUCCCUGUCUCUUAUAC